CCUGUGUACUUCAGUAGCAUAUACUAAAAUUGGAACAAUAUAGAGAAAAUUAGCAUGGCCCUUGCAAAAGGAUGACACGCAAACUCAUGGAGUAUUUUUU
rnacentral:snRNA from 1 species